UUACCAUUAAUACAUUUCACAAUAAAACAUAAACAACUUAAACAUAGCUGUCGAUUAAUGAUUUCCUCAUCUCAUCGACUAUGGCACUAGGCUGAGCUUCCCUCAGUUUGAAAACACUCUCAAUAACAGAGAGUUCAGUAGCUGUAGUAUCUGACCCACAGAAUGCUGUCCAAUCAUUCACAGUCAUGCCAGCAGCUAUCAC
rnacentral:misc_RNA from 1 species